CAGAUUGGUGAUGAUUGUUGUUA
rnacentral:siRNA from 1 species